rnacentral:misc_RNA from 1 species
UCAAACUUGGUCAUUUAGAGGAAGUAAAAGUCGUAACAAGGUAACCGUAGGUGAACCUGCGGUUGGAUCAUUACAGAAAUGGAUGUGGCUUCGGCCCGCCUGCGUACUCUGCUCGUAAGGGCAAGUGCGUGGUAAUUCCAAACCUAUUGUGCACUGUUUUUGUCUCUGGUGGCGGGGUAAGUAUUGGCGCACGCAAGUGUUUCCAUGCCUGCCUGUCAGCUUGGCGUAAAACCCAGGCCGUGGACAAACCACCAACUGUUUAAACAAACCUUUGUUUAUUUUUAAGUCUGAAGUAAACUGUAUUUAAAUAUACAAACAACUUUUGGCAACGGAUCUCUUGGCUCUCGCAUCGAUGAAGAACGCAGC